AUGGCUGUCCUGGUGCUGCUCCUCUGCCUGGGGACCUCUCCAAGCUGUGCCCUGUCCCAGGUGCAGCUGAAGGAGUCAGGACCUGGUCUGGUGCAGCCCUCACAGACCCUGUCUCUCACCUGCACUGUCUCUGGGUUCUCAUUAACCAGCUAUGGUGUACACUGGGUCUUCCAGCCUCCAGGAAAGGGGCUGGAGUGUGUGGGAGCAAUGUGGAGUGGUGGAUAUACAGAGUAUAAUUCGGCUCUCAAUUCCCAGAUCCCCAUCAGUAGGGACACCUCCAAGAACCAAGUUUUCUUAAAACUGAACAAUCUGCAAACUAAGGACACAGCCAUGUAUUUCUGUGCCAGGGACAUAGUGAGGGAACUCCAGUGCGAGCCUGCACAUAAACCUUCCUAUGGAGAUGUCUGA